rnacentral:misc_RNA from 1 species
GUGAAUCAUCAAAUUUUUGAACACAAAUGGCACUCUCUGGUAUUCCGGAGAGUAUGCCUGUUUGAGGGUCAGGUUAAGUAAAAGUUGGUAUGGAAGCUGCCUUUCGUUGUGACGCACCGGAUGUGUGUCGUCUUGCCUUCGGUUAAGUGACAUGAAAUUUUGCAUGUUUUUUCGAACGUAUUUAAAUGAUUUUACGUACGUUUGCGUUAUCGAAUACUAGGUGUGGUCAUCCUCUUGAUCCGUGCCUAUCAUUUCUCAUCAAAUUGACCUCAAAUCAGGUACGAGUACCAGCU